GCUCAACUUGUCAAGAUUCUUUAUAAACAACCGUGAUGCACUACAUAAGAUGGAGGAACAAUUACUGCAAAUCAAGGAUGACAAAGGACAAACGGAAAGAAGAAAAAAAAUCGAAUAUUUCAGUUGGAGGUAGCUCCUCCUCAUUGCCUUUCAAUAGAACACAGAAAACCCUUCGUUUCCACAUCAAUUUUUCCAUGAUUCGUUGCAUCCAUGGCUGUUACAUUACCCAGUCCAGAUCAGCUCAGUUCAGCAGAGAUAAAAAUCGGAGCAGUAAUUCUAAUCCGCGGGGGGAGAUACUAUCGACUCAUCCCUCACCGCAACACGUUACAAUGGGGGGAAAUAUAAGAAAGCAUUUCCGUUUGGUUCUUGAGCUCCACCUAUCUGCAGAGCGGGUUGUUAGGCGUGCCGCGCCCGACCUCGUCGGCGGCGUACUCGACGCCGCAGUAACAGAAGGCGGCGUCCUUCUUGUUCUUCUCGACGGCCUUGAGGAUGGACUCGAAGACGGGGACCUCGCAGGGGAUGCGGAGCACGCCCUCCUGCUGGAACCCGAACUCCUCCUCGGCCUCCCGCAGCAGGGCCGCGAAGGCGCGGUGCUUCAGGUACUCCAUCGGGAUCACGAACCUCUGCAUCGCGGGGCCCACGCACACGGCGAGGUGGCCCUUGGGCGGCGGCGGAGGGGACCCCGAGGGCGGCCCGUCCGUGAAGGAGAGCGUACGCUUCAGGAACUUCCUGGUCUUGCUCUCGCCGGCAUUGCCUCCGCCGCCGCCGGAGGUGGGCGAGCUUGGCUCCUUGGGGGUGACCGAGAGCUUGCGCCACUUCUUCAGCAUCUGCUGCAUCCGCACGACCUCGGUGAUCUUGUUCGACUUCUUGGCGCCGGAAUGCUCCAUCUGCGCUUUUUCGUGCUGGGGACGAUCUGGGGAAUUUUUCUGGUGGUUUUGAGGCGCUCUCAACGAGUUUGUGUCGAUGGGGCGUGUGGUGGAG
rnacentral:misc_RNA from 1 species